AAUAGGUUAGACGGAACCUUGAACAAGCUAAGAGCUUGGUGCAAGCUGUGAUCAAGAGGGAGGAGAAAAAGAGAGAAGUAAUGGAUAAUGAAGUUAUGCUGCAGAGGAUACAAAUGAAGUAUAAGCAUGAAACCGAAUUUUUGGAAGACAGCUUAGCUCUCUCAAGACUCGCUCCCUACUCUUCAAAGUUUGUUUCAAGUGAGGAGGAGUUCUUUGAGUCAGAUAUGAUGACUAGCCAUCCUCAUUCAAGGCCUUCAGUAGUACAGAUUCAUCCUUCAUAUGAUGCCAACCCAGCCAUGCUUCUUGCAGU